GCGCCCAUAGUUUAACGGUAAAACUGCGAUCUUAUACAUCGCUGUCCGGGGUUCGACUCCCUGUGGGCGCA
rnacentral:tRNA from 1 species